AUGCCUCUCUCUUUAUAUCGUAGAAUUGAAUUGAAUAAGUUCACACCUACUGAAAUAUCUUUGCAAAUGGCCAAUAAAUCAACUGCUAUACCUGUCAGUAUUUGUGAGGAUAUGCCUGUUGUGGUUGCAAAUGUCACUAUGUUAACAGACUAUGUUAUUCUUGAUAUUCCUGAGGACGAUAGUAUGUCGAUUAUCCUUGGUAGACCCUUUUUGAAUACUGCAGGGGAUGUUAUUGAUUGCAACAAAGGCAAUGUCACUUUUCAUGUUAAUGGUAAUGAGCAUACGGUACACUUUCCGAGGAAACAACCUCAAGUUCAUAACAUAUAUUCUAUUGGAAAAAUUCCAAAUAUCAUUAUUGGAGGUUUUGAAUUUCCCCUUCCUACUAUCAAGAAAAAAAUAUGA
rnacentral:rRNA from 1 species